ACGUCUAGCAAGGAUGACAGCAAAGUGCUUGGAAUUUUGAUUUCAGGUUUAUGUUACUGAGGACAUAUGAGAACUCCCAUCAUUUCUCAAGUUUGGUGCCACCGGUGCUUUAUUGCCAUGCAGAAGUGUAUUGGUUUUGUAGAGGAAAUAAGAUUGUACAGGAAGGAGGAGCUCAAGGGAGCAAACAGAACAAUGGGAAAGGAGCUAAAAAGUAGAAGCUAUUGCGAUAAGCUGCAAGCUUCAGUCAACUCCUAAUUCCUGGCCACUAUGUGCCCGUCGGCAAAGGAUUUGAGAUACCGCUGCACCGAAGUACCAGA